AUGUUUAAACGCGUGGUUAUGGGCAGCUUAGUUGCCUCCUGCCGUGGCGGGGGCUGCAGCCUGCGCCUGUCUCAUCUUGGCGAGUUCGACCACUCUGUCGACGGCCGGCAGGACAGCCUUGGCGGCGUCCAGCGCGCCAAAGCGCUCCACCCACGCCGCCAGGAGAGGGCCGAAGAAAGGCUUCACCCAAGCCUCCUGCAGUACAUCGACGAAGCAUUCGCCGACAUCGGCCGCUCCCUCCUCCCCUCCGACCCCCACCAGCGCGCGGUCGCUCGCUUCUGGGCCUCCUACAUCGAUGACAAGCUCGUGAUCCCAUGGGUGCGGUCGUUCAGGGGCAAGACGGAGGAGGAGAAGUCUGAGUGGAUGGAGCAGACGCUCAUCGCCGUGGAGACCCUGGAAGGAGCCCUGAGGGAGUGCUCCAAGGGCAAGGGCUUCUUCGGCGGCGACAAUGUCGGGCUCGUCGACGUCGUGCUGGGCAGCCUGCUCACGUGGGUGCACGCGGCUGAGGUGAUGUCCGGGGCCAAGAUGUUUGACCCUGCUAAGACCCCAUUGCUGGCCGCGUGGAUGCAGCGCUUCGACGAGCUUGCCGCUGCCAAGGCCGUCAUGCCGGACGUUAAUAGGAUGGUCGAGUUCAAGACGAGGCAGGCACAGGCCAUCUCUGUCGCUGCAGCUUCACAGCGUCAGUAA
rnacentral:rRNA from 1 species